rnacentral:rRNA from 1 species
GACGAACGCUGGCGGCGUGCCUAAUACAUGCAAGUUGAGCGCUGAAGGUUGGUACUUGUACCAACUGGAUGAGCAGCGAACGGGUGAGUAACGCGUGGGGAAUCUGCCUUUGAGCGGGGGACAACAUUUGGAAACGAAUGCUAAUACCGCAUAAAAACUUUAAACACAAGUUUUAAGUUUGAAAGAUGCAAUUGCAUCACUCAAAGAUGAUCCCGCGUUGUAUUAGCUAGUUGGUGAGGUAAAGGCUCACCAAGGCGAUGAUACAUAGCCGACCUGAGAGGGUGAUCGGCCAAAUUGGGACUGAGACACGGCCCAAACUCCUACGGGAGGCAGCAGUAGGGAAUCUUCGGCAAUGGACGAAAGUCUGAACGAGCAACGCCGCGUGAGUGAAGAAGGUUUUCGGAUCGUAAAACUCUGUUGGUAGAGAAGAACGUUGGUGAGAGUGGAAAGCUCAUCAAGUGACGGUAACUACCCAGAAAGGGACGGCUAACUACGUG